rnacentral:rRNA from 1 species
UGAGGAAUCUUGCGCAAUGGGGGAAACCCUGACGCAGCAACGCCGCGUGAGUGAGGAAGGUCUUCGGAUUGUAAAGCUCUGUCAGGUGGAAAGAAGUGCAUGGGGGUUAAGAGCUGCCAUGUUUGACGGUACCACCAAAGGAAGCACCGGCUAACUCCGUGCCAGCAGCCGCGGUAAUACGGGGGGUGCAAGCGUUGUUCGGAAUCAUUGGGCGUAAAGAGCGUGUAGGCGGCGUAAUAAGUCAGAUGUGAAAGCCCUGGGCUCAACCUAGGAAGUGCAUUUGAAACUGUUAAGCUAGAGUAGGGGAGAGGGAAGUGGAAUUCCUGGUGUAGAGGUGAAAUUCGUAGAUAUCAGGAGGAACACCGGUGGCGAAGGCGACUUCCUGGCCCCAUACUGACGCUGAGACGCGAGAGCGUGGGUAGCAAACAGG